rnacentral:antisense_RNA from 1 species
GUUUCCGGGAUUUCUUUGUAGGUGAGGCGGAAGACUGGAGGGAGCUGAGUACCCGGGAAGAGGGUCCGAUUCCGCCUCGCCGCGCCUCUGGCUGCCGGGCCGUGGGUUUUUCUCUCCUCCUGGGAAUAACGAGGACGACGGCCCCUAACCCCUGAAUUAGCCUUCUAUUUCCAUUAGUGACUUAGAAGCUACCCGGCGCCUCAUCUGGGCUCACCUGAGCUGAGGAUCAGGAAGGGGAGGGGCCACAGUCAUUGCCUCGCGGGCGCGGCGGGACCCCCGCGGAUGGCUUUGUGCGGACUUUCGGCACCGUUAUGCCUGCCCCCCAGCCCGACACCACCUGGGGCCGGCACGCCACGUUACUGUUCGGGGCCGGACCCACCGCCCUGCCUGUUCCGAGGACCCGGACCUCCGAUCCCGGGGAUGGGGGACCCCGAGACCUCAGACCCCACGGAGGUUACCCUGAGACCUCAGACCCCAUGCGGGGACCCCGAGGCUUCAUACCCCCACAGGAGGACCCCAAGACCUCAGACCCCACAGGAUGACCCCGAAAUCUCAGAACCCCGCAGGAGGACCUCGAGACCUCAGAUCCCCAGUAAGGGAGUGAAUGAGACUUCGGAUCCCUGAAGCAGCAAAUCCCUGUGGGGGCAUCCCAGGACUCAGGUCACCGCGGGGUGAACCCAGACCUCACAUUCGGGCAAUCCCCAGGCCGCCGAUCGGCCGGGCAUUACCCACUAUCCCGGCCACCCCCCGGAGCUCAAAGGUUUGGCCCUCCAGCUGCUCCGCCCUGCCGGCUCCCAGGCUCAAACCUCCAGCCCGCGGAUCCCCGCCCCGGAAGCAACCAGGUUCGCGGGAGGUUACCUGAUUAGUCCAAGGCAGGGUCUCACUCUUGCCCAGGCUGGAAUGCAGUGGUGUGAUCACAGCUCACUGCAGACUCAACCUCCCGGGCUCAAAGGAUAAGAUCUACUUUUAAUUAAUUUUUGUAUACGGUAUGGGAUAGGGACCAAAGCUCAUUUUUUUGCAUGUAUUCAUAUCCAAAUGUUCCAGCAUCAUUUGUUAAAAAGUUAUUUUUGUCUCUACUGCAUCAUUUCCUUUGUGCUUACCUCAAAGUCUGUGUCGCAUAUGUAUGUGUUUCGUUUUAGGCUUCCUAUUCUGUUCCAUUGAGCUAUUUGUCUUUUUGCCGCCAGCACCAUGCUGUUUUGAUUAUUGUAGCUAUAUAAAUAAGUGAUGAAAUCAGGUAGUUUGUGUCCUACAACUUUAUUUUUAUUUUUCAAGGUUAUUUUGUGUCUUCUAGAUUCUUCAAAUUUCCUUAUAAAUCUUAGAGUCGACUUGUUUUGCACAAAAAAAGACUGCUGGGAUUUUGAUUGAGAUUGUGUUGACUCUACAGAUCAAUUUGGGGAGAAUUGACAUUUUAACCGUAUUGAAUCUUCUGACCCAUUAACAUUUAGGUCUUUAAAAUUUAUCUGGCCAGACGCGGUGGCUCAAGCCUGUAAUCCCAACACUUUGGGAGGCCGAGGUGGGCCGAUCACGAGGUCAGGAGAUUGAGACCAUCCUGGCUAACACAGUGAAACCCGUCUCUACUAAAAAUACAAAAAAUUAGCUGGGCGUGGUGGCAUGCGCCUGUAGCCCCAGCUACUCGGAAGGCUGAGGCAGGUGAAUGGCGUGAACCCGGGAGGCAGAGCUUGCAGUGAGCGGAGAUCUUGCCACUGCACUCCACCUGGGGCAACAGAGUGAGACUCCAUCUCAAAAAAAAAAAAAAAAUCUCUUAUAACUUUUCUUAGAUUUUAACCUAAGUAUUUGGGGGUUUUUUUGUUGUUGUUUUUGAGACAGGAUCUCACUCUGUCACCCAGGCUGGAGUGCAAUGGUGCGAUCAUGGCUCAACUUGAAGCCUCGACCCUCCUGGGCUCAAGCUAUCCUCCCACCUCAACCUCCUGAGUAGCUGGGGCUACAAGUGCACACGACCAUGCCCAGUUAAUUUUUUAAAUUCUUUGUAGAGGCGGCGUCCCACUAUAUUGCCCAGGCUGGUCUCGAACUCCUGGGCUCAAGCAAUCCUCCCGCCUCAGCUUCCCAAAGUGUAGGGAUUACAGGCAUGAGCCACUGUGCUCAUGCCUGUAAGGUCUUGUGUUUUUUGAUAAUAUUGUAAAUGGUGAUUUUUUUCAUUUUUGUUUCUGAUUGUUGCUAAUAUAUGGAAAUAUAGUUGAUAUCUGCAAUUGAUCUUAUGUCCUGAAAACUUGCUAAAUCUGCUUAAUAAUUUUUUGUACAUUCAAAAUGAUGUUCUACAGGUAGUCAUAUUGUCUCUGUUGGAAGGAAAGCUUUUCCUCGUUCAAUGUGGGUCCUGUGUUUGAGGACCUGCAAAUUAACUGAUAACAAUAGGUUAACAGGAGAAAAGACAAGGUUUAGAGUAACUUACUAAAUAGAAAUAAAGGUUUAUAGAUCCACUCAACAAAA